rnacentral:rRNA from 1 species
GACGAACGCUGGCGGCGUGCUUAACACAUGCAAGUCGAGCGGUAAGGCCACUUCGGUGGUACACGAGCGGCGAACGGGUGAGUAACACGUGAGUAAUCUGCCCUUCACUCUGGGAUAAGCCUCGGAAACGGGGUCUAAUACCGGAUAUGACCACUCUUCGCAUGUUGGGUGGUGGAAAGUUUUUCGGUGGAGGAUGUGCUCGCGGCCUAUCAGCUUGUUGGUGGGGUAAUGGCCUACCAAGGCUUCGACGGGUAGCCGGCCUGAGAGGGUGACCGGCCACACUGGGACUGAGACACGGCCCAGACUCCUACGGGAGGCAGCAGUGGGGAAUAUUGGACAAUGGGCGGAAGCCUGAUCCAGCAACGCCGCGUGAGGGAUGACGGCCUUCGGGUUGUAAACCUCUUUCAGCGCCGACGAAGCGAAAGUGACGGUAGGCGCAGAAGAAGCACCGGCCAACUACGUGCCAGCAGCCGCCGUAAAAC